AGUAAAAGUCGUAACAAGGUUUCCGUAGGUGAACCUGCGGAAGGAUCAUUAAAGAGUAAGGGUGCUCAGCGCCCGACCUCCAACCCUUUGUUGUUAAAACUACCUUGUUGCUUUGGCGGGACCGCUCGGUCUCGAGCCGCUGGGGAUUCGUCCCAGGCGAGCGCCCGCCAGAGUUAAACCAAACUCUUGUUAUUAAACCGGUCGUCUGAGUUAAAAUUUUGAAUAAAUCAAAACUUUCAACAACGGAUCUCUUGGUUCUCGCAUCGAUGAAGAACGCAGCGAAAUGCGAUAAGUAAUGUGAAUUGCAGAAUUCAGUGAAUCAUCGAAUCUUUGAACGCACAUUGCGCCCCUUGGUAUUCCGAGGGGCAUGCCUGUUCGAGCGUCAUUACACCACUCAAGCUAUGCUUGGUAUUGGGUGCCGUCCUUAGUUGGGCGCGCCUUAAAGACCUCGGCGAGGCCUCACCGGCUUUAGGCGUAGUAGAAUUUAUUCGAACGUCUGUCAAAGGAGAGGACUUCUGCCGACUGAAACCUUUUAUUUUUCUAGGUUGACCUCGGAUCAGGUAGGGAUACCCGCUGAACUUAAGCAUAUCAAUAAGCGGAGGAAAGGAAACCAACAGGGAUUGCCCCAGUAACG
rnacentral:rRNA from 1 species